CGUGACCCGGGGGGCGCGGCCGUGGUACGUGAGCUCCGUUCCCAUUGGCCCCGCACCCGGAAGAGCCGCCGGCGCCUGCGCAGUGGGGCCGCCGCCCUGCAUCCCCCUUCCACCGAGGAGAUGGAGGCGGCGGCGCGGCGGCGGCCGCGGGAGCCGGAACGGCAGGAGCGGGAGCGGGACGAUGGUGGGCAGGUGAUGUCCCCAUCCCUGUCGGGACAGUCCUACUGGCUGGACCUGUGGCUCUUCAUCCUCUUCGACCUGGCGCUUUUCCUGCUUAUCUACCUGCUGCCCUGAGGGCGCGGCCCAGGGCCAUUGCCACCGAGGGAAUUCUCACCUAUUUCGCACCUUACGAACACCGGCGGUGGAGAGGAGGACAAUUUGUGCGGGAUAACCAACAGGGAACACGGCUCCACUUGAGCGUGGGUGGAGGAGGCACAUUUCUGUACUGUGCUAUACCGUGGUGGAGCUCUGUGUGCCACAAGUGUCACUGUUGGCUUUGGCCUGUGUCCUGCUCGUGUGUCCUGAGCCGUGCCUUGGAGAUCCCGUACGACACUGACUGUGCUUUGUGAUUAGUGCCUAAAGGUUUGUUGGGCAGACAUGGAAGUGUGCACUGUGUGAAUAAAAUCCACUGAAAGGACACCCUGCAGAGUGGCUGAGAAUAAAACCCAGCUCUUCUGUACACUGAA